AACGAACGCUGGCGGCAUGCCUAACACAUGCAAGUCGAACGAGGCCUUCGGGUUUAGUGGCGCACGGGGGCGUAACGCGUGGGAACUUGCCCUUAGGUUCCGAAUAACUCCCCGAAAGGGGUGCUAAUACCGCAUAAUGUCUUCGGACCAAAGAUUUAUCGCCUCUGGUUGGGCCUGCGUUGGAUUAGCCAGUUGGUAGGGUACAAGCCUACCAAGGCGAGGAUCCAUAGCUGGUCUGAGAGGAGGCACAGCGGCACUGGGACUGGGACAAGGCCCAGACGGGUGCGAGAGGCGGCAGUGAGGAAUAAUGGAGAGUGAGCGAAAGCCAGAACCGGCAAUGCCGGGUGAAUGAUGAAGGCGUUAGGGUUGGAAAGCGCUUUUACCCGGGAGGAUGAGAACGUAACCGGUAGAGUAAGCUCGGCUAAACACGGG
rnacentral:rRNA from 1 species